AUAGGGAAAGCCCAAAAAAAACGGAACCUUUUCUUCUCCCUGGGAGAACCGGCUGCCGCUCCCCUCCCUGCUUGAAUUUUUCUCCCUCAAACAGCAGCCCCUUCUCCUCCAAAAGACAACCAGCCACCUCUAUCAAAAAAAUUUGAAGGGAGACCCCGACCUUGAGGUUUUGAAUCAGGAGCUUCUUCUCCCAAACUAAGGCCAGCCAUACGUCCCUCUCUUUGCUGUUACAAUCUUUCCCCCCGGUUCCUCACAUUUUUCAACUUUCAAGACAGCCUCAUUCCUAUCUCCUUCCAGCCAACCUCCAACUCUAAAAAAAACAGCCAAGGCCAGAGCAGCCACUGAUUUUCUCCUCGACACAACCCUUCUUUGAUCUCCCUCACAGUCAAGGCCACACCGCCGCCAACCGAUAUAGGAGGCCAGCCCCACAGCCGUUCCUUUCUCCUUUAGAUCGAACCCGGGCUGGUUUCCCCCCAUCGAACUAGGUCCUCGUCUCCCACACCCACCAGAUCUAAAAGAGGAGAACGAGAACAAACCUGUGACCAUAAAUCUUCUUCGGUGGAGAAGAUUGGAAGGGGAAAGAAGGCCAAACCUUAAGGCAGCCAGAUCUCUUUUCUUGAGAAGUGGUGGAGGUCACCGCCUGUACGGA